rnacentral:tRNA from 1 species
GCCGGGAGUACGUGAGAAGGCGGUGGCCGCCCCUGCCGGGGGCGGCCACCGCCUUGUCGUACGGGUGCUCAGUCACCCCCGCGGCGC